AUUACAUAAUAUUAUUUUAAUUAAGGCCGAAGAUUAGUCGGUAUCUAGUGAAUUUGUGUCUGAAAAAACCUAACCCUAGGUUCAUCGUCAUGGACGUGAGAUAAGUUUAUCUUUUUGAAUGCACAUAUUGGUUCAAUAAUAAUUGUCAAUUAAUAAUAUCAUACAACUUAAUGUAAACAAGAAUCAGGAAUACCGUAGUAAUAUUUUUGAGUGCUCGUCUUCGAGAGCCGAACACUAUCAAUUCGUCUGAAUAGUGAUUCUGUGGAAUAUUUCUUGAAUAAUCUGGAACGAUUGACAAAACCAGAUUAUAUACCAACACAUGCAGACAUACUGCACAGCACAGAAUACUAAUAAUAAGAAAUGCAAUCUCCCUACUAAUCUGUGGAAACAAAAUAACCGCCAUCUUGAUUAGGUCCGCACUAGCGACACCAACGGGCAAAGUGAGAAAUAGGCUUUCUUCAGGGCGGGAAAAUUUGAAAUUACCGCAGGAAAGUUUAAAAUGUGAAAAAUCUUGCAUCAACUGCACAAAACAAACACAAUAAAGCUUUGUACAGCUGCCUGAGAGGAUCCUUCCUCACAGGAGACACUGCAAGGGUCCGCACUUAAACAGUAGUGUCAGAUUCUUACUGACUAAAAAACACCAUCGGUAAAAAAACAAAUCUCUAAUAAAUAUAUCACAAAUAAUAAUUUUGUAAUUGAAAUUGA